AAAAAAGACAAUUAAAGGCGAAAAGAAAUUUCCCCUUUACGAUAAUAUCGAUCCAAAGUUAUUGUUAACAUUGUGAAAAGAUAAUCGGGGAUGCCACCCUCGUGAAUAUAUGUAAAAAAGGGAGUGGACGGAUACAGCGCAUGCUCGAGUUAAUAUAUUAGGAGUACCGAGCAAUCCGCGCAAAUCGAAUGAAUCGUUCAUUUCGUUUCGAGUCGUCCUAGAAGCACGUUCUUAUGGGCCUUAGAAGAUGGACGGUCCGGAGUAAUAUAAAAGCGCCUCUUCAGUCGCGAUAAUGGAAAUCAUCUAUAACAUUUUAAGCAACACGCUCUCGAUAGUCCUGCAAGUCAUAAUUAUUAACGGAGGGAGAUAGAACUAUUUUCACUAGUACAUGGAUAUAGUUUUCCAUGCGCUGUUACCACACACUUUGCGAGAAGUGGAUAUUCCUUAUAUAAACGUUAAGAAGAGUGGACGACAUAAUUCAAGGAAUCAUUAAAGAAUAUCAAUGGCUACCACGAGCAUUUUAUUCCUGGCAAUUUGCUGCGGCAGCGACAGAGCUUCGAUGUUUACUCGUCGGAGUAGAAAGGAUGACUGAUCCGGAAACUAUCUAAAUCAAUCAUUGUACAACUUUACAGAGAGCGACCGAUCGCCAUUUCAAAAUUUAAGUCUAUCGGAAAAUAAAUUAAAAAUAUUUGUUGCUUCGUAGGCGUCCCGUGGGGCGUUUAACGGAAUGUUACUAAAACAGUGGUUUAUUUAACUUCUCGUAAAUCUAUUUCCUUCACAUGGAUUUAAAAUUACCGAAAGUAUUAAGUUGGAAGUUUUCACCUGUGGAAAGUGAAAACAACCUUCAAAUUCAUUCAAAGGACUGGCUGUAUAAAAACAAUAAUGAUCCCGCUGAGUAAUCAAUUGACACUGAUAAAUGAAGACAAGAAAAAUUAAAAUACGCUUUAUCUUAUCGAAAGUGUUGUUUAAAAUGAUAUAAACGAUAUAAUCCAUUAUCGCGCCUGGGGGGGUGCUUCUAUAGGGUUCCAUCUUCUGGAGUUCAUUAGAACCUGCAUGGAUGACUACGAGACUUAGAAUCAGUAGUUUGUAUUCCUCUUAA